ACCUUGUCGCAUGGCAGGGUUCUCAAAGGUCCGCUGGUCUGGGAGCAGGCGAUUUCGUAUCAGCUAGUUGGUGAGGUAACGGCCCACCAAGGCGACGACGCGUAGCCGGACUGAGAGGUUGGCCGGCCACAUUGGGACUGAGACACUGCCCAGACUCCUACGGGGGGCUGCAGUAACGAAUCUUCCGCAAUGUACGAAAGUAUGACGGAGCGACGCCGCGUGUAGGAGAAGCCCUUCGGGGUGUAAACUACUGUCAGGGGUUAGAAAGUUCUGAUCAACCCCAGAGGAAGGCACGGCUAACUCUGUGCCAGCAGCCGCGGUAAGACAGAGGUGCCAAGUGUUAGGCGGAAUCACUGGGCUUAAAGCGUGUGUAGGCGGAUGCCUAAGUACCUUGUGAAAUCCCACGGCUCAACCGUGGAACUGCUUGGUAUACUGGGUGUCUUGAGCCAGCUAGGGGCUACCGGAACAAAUGGUGGAGCGGUGAAAUGCGUAGAUAUCAUUUGGAACGCCAAUGGUGAAAACAGGUAGCUGGGGCUGUGCUGACGCUGAGACACGAAAGCCAGGGGAGCGAACGGGAUUAGAUACCCCGGUAGUCCUGGCCGUAAACGAUGUCGACUAGAUCGCAGUCCCUCUGAAGGGUUUGCGGUCGAAGCAAAAGUGCUAAGUCGACCGCCUGGGAAGUACGGUCGCAAGGCUAAAACUCAAAGAAAUUGACGGGGGCUCACACAAGCGGUGGAGCAUGUGGUUCAAUUCGAAGCAACGCGCAGAACCUUACCUGGGCUUGACAUGCCAGGAUUAUCCCUAUGAAAGUAGGGUAGGCCCUUCGGGGUACAACUGGUACAGGUGCUGCAUGGCUGUCGUCAGCUCGUGUCGUGAGAUGUCGGGUUAAGUCCCUUAACGAGCGAAACCUUUGCCCUUAGUUACCAGCGGGUUGUGCCGGGGACUCUAAGGGGACUGCCGGUGUCAAACCGGAGGAAGGUGGAGAUGACGUCAAGUCCUCAUGGCCUUUAU
rnacentral:rRNA from 1 species